rnacentral:rRNA from 1 species
GAUGAACGCUGGCGGCGUGCCUAAUACAUGCAAGUCGAGCGAACAGAUGAGGAGCUUGCUCCUCUGACGUUAGCGGCGGACGGGUGAGUAACACGUGGAUAACCUACCUAUAAGACUGGGAUAACUUCGGGAAACCGGAGCUAAUACCGGAUAAUAUAUUGAACCGCAUGGUUCAAUAGUGAAAGACGGUUUUGCUGUCACUUAUAGAUGGAUCCGCGCCGCAUUAGCUAGUUGGUAAGGUAACGGCUUACCAAGGCAACGAUGCGUAGCCGACCUGAGAGGGUGAUCGGCCACACUGGAACUGAGACACGGUCCAGACUCCUACGGGAGGCAGCAGUAGGGAAUCUUCCGCAAUGGGCGAAAGCCUGACGGAGCAACGCCGCGUGAGUGAUGAAGGUCUUCGGAUCGUAAAACUCUGUUAUUAGGGAAGAACAAAUGUGUAAGUAACUAUGCACGUCUUGACGGUACCUAAUCAGAAAGCCACGGCUAACUACGUGC